UACGUAGGGGGCAAGCGUUGUCCGGAUUUAUUGGGCGUAAAGAGCGUAUAGGCGGUCAGGUAGGUCGGUUGUGAAAACUGGAGGCUCAACCUUCAGAGGUCGACCGAAACCCCCUGGCUAGAGUCCGGGAGAGGAGAGUGGAAUUCCUGGUGUAGCGGUGAAAUGCGCAGAUAUCAGGAAGAACACCCGUGGCGAAAGCGGCUCUCUGGAACGGUACUGACGCUGAGACGCGAAAGCGUGGGGAGCGAACAGG
rnacentral:rRNA from 1 species